rnacentral:rRNA from 1 species
GUGGGGAAUUUUGGACAAUGGGCGCAAGCCUGAUCCAGCCAUGCCGCGUGCAGGAAGACGCAUCUAUGGUGUGUAAACUGCUUUUGUACGGGAAGAAACACUCCCUCGUGAGGGAGCUUGACGGUACCGUAAGAAUAAGGAUCGGCUAACUCCGUGCCAGCAGCCGCGGUAAUACGGAGGAUCCAAGCGUUAUCCGGAAUCAUUGGGUUUAAAGGGUCCGUAGGCGGUUUAAUAAGUCAGUGGUGAAAGCCCAUCGCUCAACGAUGGAACGGCCAUUGAUACUGUUAGACUUGAAUUACAAGGAAGUAACUAGAAUAUGUAGUGUAGCGGUGAAAUGCUUAGAUAUUACAUGGAAUACCAAUUGCGAAGGCAGGUUACUACUUGUGGAUUGACGCUGAUGGACGAAAGCGUGGGGAGCGAACAGGAUUAGAAACCCUUGUAGUCC